AUGAAGACUCAAGAUUCCUACAGUGCUUAGUGAAGAUUCUGGCAAGGAAGGGUGCCUAAUUGGAUGGAGUUCGAAAAAGUAAGAUACUUUCAAGAUCAUUACUUAAAAGAAUAAUUCAGCCUAAGGCUCUUCACAGUGAACAUUUAUUCAAGCUUAUUCGGACCUCAGCAUUAAUCUCAUCAUUUCUGAUGUUCAAAUUCAAUUGCUUUUCCUUUUUCUUUUCCUUUUGAUGAGUUUGUGUAUGACUUCUGAAACUGUUAAAAUAAACCUCUGUGUUAGCCAGAA